GACGAACGCUGGCGGCGUGCUUAACACAUGCAAGUCGAACGGAAAGGCCCUGCUUUUGUGGGGUGCUCGAGUGGCGAACGGGUGAGUAACACGUGAGUAACCUGCCCUUGACUUUGGGAUAACUUCAGGAAACUGGGGCUAAUACCGGAUAGGAGCUCCUGCUGCAUGGUGGGGGUUGGAAAGUUUCGGCGGUUGGGGAUGGACUCGCGGCUUAUCAGCUUGUUGGUGGGGUAGUGGCUUACCAAGGCUUUGACGGGUAGCCGGCCUGAGAGGGUGACCGGCCACAUUGGGACUGAGAUACGGCCCAGACUCCUACGGGAGGCAGCAGUGGGGAAUAUUGCACAAUGGGCGGAAGCCUGAUGCAGCAACGCCGCGUGCGGGAUGACGGCCUUCGAGUUGUAAACCGCUUUCGCCUGUGACGAAGCGUGAGUGACGGUAAUGGGUAAAGAAGCACCGGCUAACUACGUGCCAGCAGCCGCGGUGAUACGUAGGGUGCGAGCGUUGUCCGGAUUUAUUGGGCGUAAAGGGCUCGUAGGUGGUUGAUCGCGUCGGAAGUGUAAUCUUGGGGCUUAACCCUGAGCGUGCUUUCGAUACGGGUUGACUUGAGGAAGGUAGGGGAGAAUGGAAUUCCUGGUGGAGCGGUGGAAUGCGCAGAUAUCAGGAGGAACACCAGUGGCGAAGGCGGUUCUCUGGGCCUUUCCUGACGCUGAGGAGCGAAAGCGUGGGGAGCGAACAGGCUUAGAUACCCUGGUAGUCCACGCUGUAAACGGUGGGUACUAGGUGUGGGGUCCAUUCCACGGGUUCCGUGCCGUAGCUAACGCUUUAAGUACCCCGCCUGGGGAGUACGGCCGCAAGGCUAAAACUCAAAGGAAUUGACGGGGCCCCGCACAAGCGGCGGAGCAUGCGGAUUAAUUCGAUGCAACGCGUAGAACCUUACCUGGGUUUGACAUGGAUCGGGAGCGCUCAGAGAUGGGUGUGCCUCUUUUGGGGUCGGUUCACAGGUGGUGCAUGGCUGUCGUCAGCUCGUGUCGUGAGAUGUUGGGUUAAGUCCCGCAACGAGCGCAACCCUUGUUCACUGUUGCCAGCACGUUAUGGUGGGGACUCAGUGGAGACCGCCGGGGUCAACUCGGAGGAAGGUGGGGAUGACGUCAAGUCAUCAUGCCCCUUAUGUCCAGGGCUUCACGCAUGCUACAAUGGCUGGUACAGAGAGUGGCGAGCCUGUGAGGGUGAGCGAAUCUCGGAAAGCCGGUCUCAGUUCGGAUUGGGGUCUGCAACUCGACCUCAUGAAGUCGGAGUCGCUAGUAAUCGCAGAUCAGCAACGCUGCGGUGGAUACGUUCCCGGGGCU
rnacentral:rRNA from 1 species